UCUCCGUUGGUGGACCAGCGGAGGGAUCAUUACAGAGUUGCAAAACUCCCAAACCAUUGUGAACGUUACCUAUCCCGUUGCUUCGGCGGGCGGCCCGGGCCCCGCGCCCGGCGCCCCCGGCCCCCCGUGGGCGCCCGCCGGAGGUAAACCAAACCCUUGAAUUGCAUGGCCUCUCUGAGUCUUCUGUACUGAAUGAGUCAAAACUUUCAACAACGGAUCUCUUGGUUCUG
rnacentral:misc_RNA from 1 species